AGAGUUUGAUCCUGGCUCAGGAUGAACGCUAGCUACAGGCUUAACACAUGCAAGUCGAGGGGAAACGAUAUUGGAAGCUUGCUUCCGAUAGGCGUCGACCGGCGCACGGGUGAGUAACGCGUAUCCAACCUGCCCACCACUUGGGGAUAACCUUGCGAAAGUAAGACUAAUACCCAAUGAUAUCUCUAGAAGACAUCUGAAAGAGAUUAAAGAUUUAUCGGUGAUGGAUGGGGAUGCGUCUGAUUAGCUUGUUGGCGGGGUAACGGCCCACCAAGGCAACGAUCAGUAGGGGUUCUGAGAGGAAGGUCCCCCACAUUGGAACUGAGACACGGUCCAAACUCCUACGGGAGGCAGCAGUGAGGAAUAUUGGUCAAUGGACGAGAGUCUGAACCAGCCAAGUAGCGUGCAGGAAGACGGCCCUAUGGGUUGUAAACUGCUUUUAUAAGGGAAUAAAGUGAGAGUCGUGACUCUUUUUGCAUGUACCUUAUGAAAAAGGACCGGCUAAUUCCGUGCCAGCAGCCGCGGUAAUACGGAAGGUCCGGGCGUUAUCCGGAUUUAUUGGGUUUAAAGGGAGCGUAGGCCGGAGAUUAAGCGUGUUGUGAAAUGUAGACGCUCAACGUCUGCACUGCAGCGCGAACUGGUUUCCUUGAGUACGCACAAAGUGGGCGGAAUUCGUGGUGUAGCGGUGAAAUGCGUAGAUAUUAGGAGGAACACCAGAGGCGAAGGCGGCUCACUGGACUGUAACUGACACUGAGGCUCGAAAGCGUGGGGAGCAAACAGGAUUAGAUACCCUGGUAGUCCACGCGGUAAACGAUGAAUACUAGAUGUCGGGUAGCAUAGCUACUCGGUGUCGUCGCAAACGCAAUAAGUAUUCCACCUGGGGAGUACGUUCGCAAGAAUGAAACUCAAAGGAAUUGACGGGGACCCGCACAAGCGGUGGAGCAUGUGGUUUAAUUCGAAGCAACGCGAAGAACCUUACCUGCUCUUGACAUCCCAUUCGAUAGAGGGUAAUGCCUCUAGCCCUUCGGGGGAAUGGAGACAGGUGGUGCAUGGUCGUCGUCAGCUCGUGUCGUGAGAUGUUGGGUUAAGUCCCGCAACGAGCGCAACCCUUAUUGUCAGUAGCCAGCAGGUGAAGCUGGGCACUCUGAUGAGACUGCCGGGGAUAACCCGGAGGAAGGUGGGGAUGACGUCAAAUCAUCAUGCCCCUUAUGAGCAGGGCUACACACGUGCUACAAUGGCGUAAACAGAGGGAAGCGAAGGAGUGAUCCGGAGCAAAUCUCAAAAAUAACGUCUCAGUUCGGAUUGUAGUCUGCAACUCGACUACAUGAAGCUGGAAUCGCUAGUAAUCGCAGAUCAGAAUGCUGCGGUGAAUACGUUCCCGGGUCUUGUACACACCGCCCGUCACACCAUGGGAGUCGGUAAUGCCCGAAGUCAGUGACUCAACUUUAAAGGAGAGAGCUGCCGAAGGCAGGACUGGUAACUGGGGUGAAGUCGUAACAAGGUA
rnacentral:rRNA from 1 species